rnacentral:rRNA from 1 species
AUUGAACGCUGGCGGCAUGCUUUACACAUGCAAGUCGAACGGUAACAGGCCGCAAGGUGCUGACGAGUGGCGAACGGGUGAGUAAUGCAUCGGAACGUGCCCAGUCGUGGGGGAUAACGCAGCGAAAGCUGUGCUAAUACCGCAUACGAUCUGUGGAUGAAAGCGGGGGACCGAAAGGCCUCGCGCGAUUGGAGCGGCCGAUGUCAGAUUAGGUAGUUGGUGGGGUAAAGGCUCACCAAGCCAACGAUCUGUAGCUGGUCUGAGAGAACGACCAGCACCACUGGGACUGAGACCCGGCCCAGGCUCCUACAGGGGGCAGCAGUGGGGACUUUUGGACAAUGGGCGCAAGCCUGAUCCAGCAAUGCCGCGUGCAGGAAGAAGGCCUUCGGGUUGUAAACUGCUUUUGUACGGAGCGAAAAGGCUCUCUCUAAUACAGGGGGCUCAUGACGGUACCGUAAGAAUAAGCACCGGCUAACUACGUGCCAGCCGCCGCAGUAAUAC